rnacentral:lncRNA from 1 species
AUUCCACGACGUAUUACACACACACACAAUGGUCGACGAGCCCCCCAACCUCCCCCCUCCCACCGCAGAUGAAUAGGUGCAUCGAAUCGAAGAGACACAAGCUUAGAGGAAUGUCACCGACAGAGUUAUAAAGAUGGCGGAGAAGACCAGUGUGUUUCCCGCUCACUCGGCUAUUUUUAGAGAAACUGGUGUCUUACAUAUGACGUCUUUUUCUGCUUCAAAUGACGUGGGACAAAUGACGCACACAUGACGUCAGACACAAUACGUCAUUUGUACAGGAAACACUCCACGAACUACAACUCACUGCAGUCUGAGGCCCAACAGAGCAGACGUCAGUUCAUGUCAACACUUAUCUUCAGGCGACCUUCCUGACUAUACUGUCCGGGUACUUCUACUGACCAUCCACGCUGGUGUUCCGGUCAUGUGCCUCAGUUCACGUGGGUUCCAUCCGCUAUAGCUCCAGCCGACGGGAAGUCGCUGCCCAGAGGCAACGUGGAGAAUUGAAAGGGCAGGGAGAUCGCCGACCUUCCUGCUGGUGCUGGGGAUGACUACCAGAUCUCCUCCAUCCGCUGUGCUGUGGAUGACCGCAGUGCUUUCCUCUCUCAUCCGGGCAAUUACCUCAUGUGACCAGCCAGUCGUACCAGCUUCCAAGUCCAGCAGCUUGUGCAGCAGUCCUUUCAUUAAUGGAACGGACUUCGGCAGUCGUUCUUUCAUCUGCACUGCUCCGCUUAAUGCGCUCAGACAGCGGCGAUGUUCAGAUGACUAAGAGCGUAUGAGUUGUCUGCCCUGCCUCGGCUCACUUUUUUCUGAUUCAUCAGCCAACUCGUCCACACGCAUCUUGAUGGAGACCGCACGUGCGCAACGCAUACUGGGGAAGACACGCAGCAGGCUCCUCAGACAGCACCAAGGCGGGCUUUGCCCACAGAAGCCUCGACAUGCGGUUCCAUCAGAGAUACCGGCGGGACACUUUGUCGCACGAAGUGCUUCCUGUUUUCUUCGAGCGAUGACCGACCGAGGGCCAUUCAGGAGAAAAUGUAUCCAACUACUGCCAACACAUUCGUGGCGUAGACUUAAUUCCCGCCCAACCAUUCUUCAAACUGCGCCCCUGGGCCCUGGAAAUUAUUCUUUGGAAACGAUUCAUCAACACACAUUCACCUGGCGUGGCACCGAAGAGCUGUGCACACAGACCGGACGGUCCCACAAUGCCUAUCUGCGGGCUGCUGUCCGCCUGCCGUCUGUAGGUCACUUGUCUGCGUGCGUCCGCGCGUUGUCUGUUGACGGCCGCUUGUUCCGGCCUCACCCCGCCGCACAGCUCUGUCAAUAGUGGGACGCGCACAGAUCACUGGCACGUGAAAGUCGCCACAGCACCGUGAAACAGGCAUUUACACUAAUCCUGGAUCAAUGGAGCUCGGCGUGUUAAUGGCAUCACGCACUCACAGACACGCAUGCACGCACUAUGCUCUCCACAGCACGUAUACAUACGGCUCGCACGCAAACAACCCACGACAAACAUUCGAUGCGCGUGGCCGCACACACACACACGAGCACCGAUACACGCGCGCAGACAGACAGGCACACCAAAACACAUACACUAAUACCGCGGUAUACAAUCGUGUUUGCCCAUGUAUGUGCGUGCGCACGCAGGCACAACAAAACACACAAGCAUGGAACUGAACCACGUACGCACCGUCGCACGCAUUAACAAACGCACGCGCACUCCAUUGCUAUGCGUACGCACUCAUGCGAAAGACAGGUCCGGAGGGAAGGGUGGGUACUGCGAGAGAAGUAGUGGGGAGGAAGGGGGAGUGGGCGAGGGUGGAGAGAGGGGAGAGAGAGAGGACGAGACAUGCGCACGGCAUCUGGCCACGCGGAUGAUGGCGGCAGCAGCUAGCGGCAGCGAGGUCCCGAGAUCAUUCACAUAACGCAACUGCCGACCUGCCCAGACGCUUGAUCGAUGACUUGCGUCCGGACAUCACAAAGAACUUGACCGUGUUGAUUACAUCAUCCCCACCACCGCGCGCGCCAUCUCUCCCCCUUCCCAGCACUCUUCCACCACCACUACCACCACCACCACCACCAUCACCAUCCACAGCUUCCCGCGGCCGCCAUCGUGCUACCGUGGAACAACCGUUUCCACGCCACCCAGGACUCUCGUGCAACGCGCACGUGCCCCCUCAACCCGUGAACCAAGAGAGCGCCCCUUUCAGCAAAGGAAUUGAACCCCUAGGGUUUCCUUCCGGUGAGGUGCCUUCUGACUGUAACAAUGGAAAUGUUGCCAGGUGAACAGAGCUCACAGACACUAGACUAUUUCGUUGUCUUUAUAGAUUAUUUUGAGAAGAUGGUAACAAGACGCAUUAGGUUGAAACAAAAAUGAAGUUCAUAAAAUCUUUAUAAAGAAACAUGACAAUAAACACAUCAAUAUGAACGCCAGCCCAUAAACAAAAAAACUAAUAGAGUUAGAGGUUUCUAAGCCUAAGGGCCACAGGGGCAGUGUAUAUGGUCCAUUAUGGACACCAAAUGUGGAAACAAAAAUCGCUCCUCUUCUCCCUCUCCCCUGAUAACUCUGGUAUUAGUGCUGGGAGGGUAGAGGGAGCCACAAACCCAAGCAGCCAAGGACACAUGCUAAGGUUACCCUGCCUCCCCAAAGGUGUCGAAAUGUUUGCUUAUGAUACGUUGUGUGGCGUUAAAGGAAGAGAUCGGACAAUGCUUGACUCGUGC